rnacentral:rRNA from 1 species
GAUGAACGCUGGCGGCGUGCCUAAUACAUGCAAGUCGAGCGAACGGACGAGAAGCUUGCUUCUCUGAUGUUAGCGGCGGACGGGUGAGUAACACGUGGAUAACCUACCUAUAAGACUGGGAUAACUUCGGGAAACCGUAGCUAAUACCGGAUAAUAUUUUGAACCGCAUGGUUCAAAAGUGAAAGACGGUCUUGCUGUCACUUAUAGAUGGAUCCGCGCUGCAUUAGCUAGUUGGUAAGGUAACGGCUUACCAAGGCAACGAUGCAUAGCCGACCUGAGAGGGUGAUCGGCCACACUGGAACGGAGACACGGUCCAGACUCCUACGGGAGGCAGCGGUAGGGAAUCUUCCGCAAUGGGCGAAAGCCUGACGGAGCAACGCCGCGUGAUUGAUGAAGGUCUUCGGAUCUUAAAACUCUGUUAUUAGGGAAGAACAUAUGUGUAAGUAACUGUGCACAUCUUGACGGUACCUAAUCAGAAAGCCACGGCUAACUACGUG